AUCUGCCCUGCACUUCGGGAUAAGCCUGGGAAACUGGGUCUAAUACCGGAUAGGACCUCGGGAUGCAUGUUCCGGGGUGGAAAGGUUUUCCGGUGCAGGAUGGGCCCGCGGCCUAUCAGCUUGUUGGUGGGGUAACGGCCCACCAAGGCGACGACGGGUAGCCGGCCUGAGAGGGCGACCGGCCACACUGGGACUGAGACACGGCCCAGACUCCUACGGGAGGCAGCAGUGGGGAAUAUUGCACAAUGGGCGCAAGCCUGAUGCAGCGACGCCGCGUGAGGGAUGACGGCCUUCGGGUUGUAAACCUCUUUCAGUACCGACGAAGCGCGAGUGACGGUAGGUACAGAAGAAGCACCGGCCAACUACGUGCCAGCAGCCGCGGUAAUACGUAGGGUGCGAGCGUUGUCCGGAAUUACUGGGCGUAAAGAGCUCGUAGGCGGUUUGUCGCGUCGUCUGUGAAAACCCGCAGCUCAACUGCGGGCUUGCAGGCGAUACGGGCAGACUUGAGUACUGCAGGGGAGACUGGAAUUCCUGGUGUAGCGGUGAAAUGCGCAGAUAUCAGGAGGAACACCGGUGGCGAAGGCGGGUCUCUGGGCAGUAACUGACGCUGAGGAGCGAAAGCGUGGGUAGCGAACAGGAUUAGAUACCCUGGUAGUCCACGCCGU
rnacentral:rRNA from 1 species